CCUGGAUCUACCACGUGUGUUGUGUAAAUAAAUUCAUGAUCUCAGCCCAGUGGCGUUCUUGGCUCAAAGCAAGUCCUAAUUAACUGUCUACUGUGUGGCACUUCCUGCAUAGCAGAGUAGCCUUACCCUUGGUUAACAGGAACCUCAUAAGAACUGAUGUUUUCUGACAUAUCAAGGGGGUCUUGCACCUGGACUUGUGGAGCUGUGUUAAUCAGAAAGAUAACUCUCGUUGUUCUCUGUCUUGACGUCUCUGGGCUUUCAAAUUGUGGCUUAUUCUUGUUUGUUUUUGAGGCAGAGUCUCACUCUAUCCCCAAGGCUGGAGUGCAGUGGCACAAUCUCGGCUCACUGCAACCUCUGCCUUCCGGGUACAAGUGAUUCUUGUGCUUCAGCCUCCCGAGUAGCUGGGAUUACAGGUGCGUGCUACCACGCCCGGCUAAUUUUUUUGAUUUUUAGUAGAGACAGGGUUUUGCCAUGUUGGCCAGGCUGGUCUCGAACUCCUGGCCUCAAGUGAUCUGCCCUCCUUGGCCUCCCAAAGUGCUGGGAUUACAGGCAUGAGCCACUGUACCCAGACUUGUUAGUUUUCAAAAUUCACUUAACUUCCUUUAAGCAUAAAAGGGAAUUUAUUGGAAGAGUCCUGGAGUAUCACACAAAACCCAAGGCCAAGAACUACAGCCAGAGCUACGUGAAGGCCUGGAACCACGAAACACCUUAUUUCUCAAGAGAGGGAGAGCCACGGUUGUGAAAUCACCAAAACUGAUGGGAAGCUCCGCUGGUGGCGGCCCUCUCAAACAGCAGAUGCAUGACUCCCGAUUCUCAGCCAGGAUCUG
rnacentral:lncRNA from 1 species